UACGUAGGGGGCAAGCGUUGUCCGGAUUUAUUGGGCGUAAAGAGCGUGUAGGCGGCCAGGUAGGUCCGUUGUGAAAACUGGAGGCUCAACCUCCAGCGGUUGAUGGAAACCAUCUGGCUAGAGUCCGGAAGAGGAGAGUGGAAUUCCUGGUGUAGCGGUGAAAUGCGCAGAUAUCAGGAAGAACACCCGUGGCGAAGGCGGCUCUCUGGGACGGUACUGACGCUGAGACGCGAAAGCGUGGGGAGCAAACAGG
rnacentral:rRNA from 1 species